rnacentral:rRNA from 1 species
UCUCUCUACCUGUUGCUUUGGCGGGCCCACCGGGGCCACCCGGUCGCCGGGGGACGUCCGUCCCCGGGCCCGCGCCCGCCGAAGCGCUCUGUGAACCCUGAUGAAGAUGGGCUGUCUGAGUCGAAUGAAAAUUGUCAAAACUUUCAACAAUGGAUCUCUUGGUUCCGGCAUCGAUGAAGAACGCAGCGAAAUGCGAUAAGUAAUGUGAAUUGCAGAAUUCCGUGAAUCAUCGAAUCUUUGAACGCACAUUGCGCCCCCUGGCAUUCCGGGGGGCAUGCCUGUCCGAGCGUCUUUUCUGCCCUCAAGCCCGGCUUGUGUGUUGGGCGUGGUCCCCCCGGGGACCUGUCCGAAAGGCAGCGGCGACGUCCGUCUGGUCCUCGAGCGUAUGGGGCUUUGUCACUCGCUCGGGACGGAUCGGCGGAGGUUGGUCACCACCACAGUUUUACCACGGUUGACCUCGGAUCAAGUAGGAGUUACCCGAUGAACUUAAGCAUAUCAAUAA